AGGAGCCCUAGGCAAUAUGUAUUAAGUAGACUUUCAUGAACUCAACGAGAUACUGCAAGAGAUAAAAUAAUGAGAUGCUACGUCAUAGGAUCUGUCUCUGAGUCCACAUUGUGGGAGAAAAGACCAUUCUUCGGAAAGAUGCAGAGGAAGCCCCGUACCUCAAGGGAUUGAGAUGGGAGACUGAGGGAAUCCUGGGGUCUCUGCCCUCUCCCUCACUGGGAAACAAGCUCUGUUUCUUCAUGUGCUGGAGCCCUGCCUCUGUGGGUGCAGCCUGAGGACAAAGGCAGUGCUGCAUCCCCUGAUCCCCUGCCCCCUACAACCUCCUGCCCAGCCUCUUGGGUGCUCCUCAGCUUGUCGUCAGGGAGGAAGCAGCCAUCUCCUCCGAUGACUGACUUCAAGCCUCAACUCUCCCACAGCUUCUCAAAAGCCAAGGCUGAGGCCAAGUCCUAGCUGCUGCCUUGGGACAGGUCAAGGGCCUCCUGCAAUCUCAUGCACAAACUGGUACCCAUGAGCAUGUGGCCUAAGAGAUUUAUUGACCCCUCUCCAAGUCCUUGCCAGAGGAAUCCUGCACACCUAUAUCCACAAUGAAGGGAGCCAUAUCCCCAGCUGGGUAGCCAUAUCCCUAAUGAUAUCACUUAUGAAAGGUGACAAGUCCUUUCUACCACUCUUAUUUAAGUGAAAAUAUAUUUAGUCAAUUAUG